GGCGCUCGCAGGGCUUCCUUGGUUUAAAGGGGGGAGUUCAAGCUCAGAGUGGCUAAGAGCUGCUCUCAGGGUCACCCAGCAAGAGCCUGCUGGGAAGGGGGCAACAGCAGGACCACCUGGGUUCAAGGUCACCGCUGGGCGCUUCCCGGCCCCUCCCACCAGCACCCACGGGGCCAUGCCCCUUGCGCCUAUUUAUCUGAGCAGAAGUCGGGGAGCCGCAUGGGCUGUAGGUGGGCCUGAGUCCAGGAGCCUGAUUCCCCGCACCUCCCCAAGACUGAGCGACCAACCUCUCUGCAUCCCACCGGAGGCUCACUGUGCUGUCACUUUACACGACUUCUCAAGGGCAUGAAAUGUCAGCCUUUCGUUGAAAAUCGAAGGCCAAGGCCAUGUCAAGUGUCUUUCAGGUGAGGAUGCAGUUCACAUGGAGCCACAGCUUUGAAAGCCGUAGGCUGUCAAUCAAUAGUUGGCACCUGAUUGAAUGGCUGCUCACAGGGAGCUGCCGGGAGGACAGAUGGCCGGGCCACGUGCUGCACUCCCCACCUGUCUGCAGGAGCCCCGAGAGCGGCCCUCUGUACGAACAGGUAACAUCUGUAGGGCCCUGACAGGCACCCACUUCCACGCAUGCCAACCCACAGGCUCAGUGGCCCUAGGAUCUCCCAUCCCUGUCCCAGGGAGGAACUGAGCUCGAGGUGUGGGUGUGGGGAGCACUUUUCCUCAGUGAGGUGGGAGACAGACACCUGGCAGCUCAGCCCCACUCCUGGAAGCCCAGGGCAUUUCCUUCAUUCCUGGGGAUCUCGGAUCCAGAAAGCAAGAUACCUGGCCAUGGGCAGCUCCCGAGGCUCUGCCCCACCCCACAGGUGCUUGCACACAAGCUCCACCUUAGCGGCCUCUGCUAAAGGUGAGAACCACCUGUUCCAAGCCCGGUGGCACCCACAAGGGGGGACAAGAGCAGCAUCUCUGCCUCUUUCGUAAGUGGUCGUGGCAUGGAGGGGAUUUUCACCAGUGAGCUUCACUCUGAACUACAAACAGAGACACUAGGUUUCCAAUGUGAAAUGCUAAAAGCCUGGCUUCAGGGAAGGGAGGGCUGUGUCUCCACCGGGGAGGAGGUGUCUCUCAGCUGAGCCGAGAGACACUUUCCCCAGAGGAAUCCCAGCUCAGCCUCAGACAGCGCAAAAGCUCCCCAGCAAGCAAAGAAAACAUUUCCCUGGCGCCACCAGUGGGGAGAGGCCAGGAGCUGGCCAGGGUGCUGAAGACGGCGCGGGGGGGCCCCCGGUCUGGAGAUCCCGAGAUGCAGAGGCCUGGGGGGGGGGGGGGGUAGGCGUGGUGUCCACCACGGUGAGCGUGGAUGGGCGGACACUUCACCACUCAGACAGAGCUUCUCGCUGAAGUCGAACCGAAAGUUUCUCCCCGAAACACGGGGUCUUUUAAAAGAUACGAAGAGGAGAAACUUGGUGAGCAAAAGCACCUUAUGUCUCCUGAUGAAAGACUACCAGGAAGGCAUCAGGAGGCCUGGGGACAGACACUUGCGAGGCCACCCAGAACCAGCAGCCUCUUUGCCAAGAUGUGGCAACAGAGAGCAGGCACAGCCCUCUGCAAAGAGCCUGCUGCUGCUGGGGACCUGCUGGGUUUUUCUGCACGUGUGUGCAUUUGUGUGUGUGCUACAGGCGUCCGUGCGUCUGUCCACCCACCGCGCACAGCCAGCACCCCUCCCCAGAGCCUCUGCAGAGGGGCAAGGAAACUUCUCUCCCGGAGGCCAUGAGGAGCCGGCCAGGGGUGACUGGCAGGUGACCAGCGACACCGGGGCAGGGGUGCGGAGGGUGAAGGGGGACAAACCCCACCGUGGGGCCAGGGAGCCCCGUGCCUCCUGGGGAGAGCUGGGGCAGCAAGGACUUGCAGGAAACAGGGAGGCUCGCUCCAGUCUUCUCUCUCCCUGUGGUCUUCCUCCUGCUCUCGGCCCUCCCUUCUCUUCUUUGUUUCCUUUUAUUUUCCCGAGGGAGGCUGUCAGCGAGCCAGGGAAGUCCGGCAGCUGGGUCAGGGCCACGGGGCUGGCGGCCCUCCCCUCCUAGACUUGUGACUCCCAAGGGCCAGCGUCUCUGGGUGCAGAGCCCGGCACAGUGGCUCCACGGAAAGGGCGUUUUAAUGUCACUCCCAGGCAGUCCGAAGCCGGCAGGCUCUUCCCAGCACCCGGCGCCAGGCGCCCUCCCCAAAGGGCGCACCACUUCUCCCAGACCUGCCGCUCCAGAUGCCUUUUUAACAUGGAGAACGCCGCCCCGCACGCGUACAUUGUUCAGGGGACGGCGAGCCGCGCAGGUGCCCGCUGCCCUGGGCCGCAGUCCCCACGCCCUCCGCACGAAGCCAGCAAUGCACCUGCACUACCGCCUGCCCUUGCGGGGCUCCGGGCACAAUUCCCGCAGCCUGCCUGGGGUCUUGGGGGUGCGCAAUGCCGGAGACAAGGGACGAGCCGCCCCAGGGCCGUGUGUGGGGCUGAGAGCGAGCCCCUCUGCCUUGGAACGCGGGGGGCUCGGUUCGCGCGCUCCGGACCCCCCCCCCCGCGGUGACCACGGCCAACGACCCCCGGCGCCGCCCCGUGAACUUCUCAGCGGGGGCGGAGGGCAGGGAGCCCCGAGAGGGGCGGCUGUGCCAGCAUUGGGGGCCCGCGGUCUCCGGCCGACUUGCACCCCGCCCUCCGCCCCAGGGCCGGCCGGGGACUGGGACCCCCCCCUCUCUGGACCAGGGAUGGGCCCGCCGGGCAGGGGCUCCCCGGGCCGCGCGGGCGCCGGGCGGAGGAAAAUGGCGUUGGCGCACGUACUUGGGAAAAACAAGAAGAAAGAAAGUUCCCGUUUCCAUACAGACACAAUUUCCCACCCAGCUCCUUUCCACCGGACAACGUGGAGCCUGCAGAAACACUUGAAUUUAAAGAAGAAAGAGAAACCAAAGUCCAGUGCAAGGGCUGAGCAGGGAUCUCUAUUGGACGCUGCUUUUCAGCUGGCUGCGGGGACAGACACAAACACACAACAAGCAAAUCAAAGAACCAGGCGGAUAUUGACAGGCUCCCUUGGACAGCUGCCUUCUGCUCCCUGAGCCCCAUCUGUAGAGACAGCACUGGGUCUGAUGUGGAGCUUAGCGGUCUUGCUUCCUCAGGGUGCAGUUUGAGAAUAAAACCCAAAGAAAACCAGCAGCUCUGAAACACACGAGUGCAGGACAUCGGUGGCCCCUGAGCAAUGGUGAGAACACAGAGAACAAAGUCUUCUGGAGCUGGAAAAACAGUGACCGCCCCUGGAAGGGCCAGGCAGAGACCCCCACGAGGCUUCGGUUUCCCAAACAAAGGUUCAGACGUUGCUGGCAUCAGCCUCACAUCUCCUUCCAGCAUCAGCUCGAGGGCCUGGAUCUGUGAGCAGCCAGGAGACACCGGUCUCUGGUCCCUUGUCCCUGUGGCUGCAGCAGCGCUGCCCCCAGGCGAUCGAGGAAGGGCUGCUGGGCUGCAUGCUGGGACCUCAGGAGCUUGGCGAGACCCCAGUAGUCACACACAAGUCAGACUCCUCGACCUCCUCAAGGGGAAGGACGGAGCAGCUCUGCCAGGACCUGGGAAUGCUUAUCUGGCAAGUGUGCCCUGUCCGCGAAGUGUUCUGGGGGCACAGCUCAUGCGGGGCACUGGAGCAGGAGCCAGGAGCCCGGACUGCUGUGGCCCUAUGGGGCUGUCACCUCGCUGGGCCCAGGGCAAUCAGCUCCGGCUUCUGGUGGCUCAGCUGCCCUGGCUCGACAGCCUUUUUGCCCAUUUUCCACUGGAGGCUUUUGUUUGUUUCUGUCUUUCUGCUGAGCUGUGAGACUUCUCAUCUAUAUAGAUACAAAUCUUCUGGCACAUAUGUAUUUUAAUAUCUUCUUUCAUUUUGGACCUUGACCUUUGUUUGUUAAAUGGUGCCUUCCAAAAAGGAAAAGGUUUCAACUUUGAUAAAAUCCGGUUUGUCAGUUUUCAUUCUGUGAUUUGUGCUUUUUGCAUCCAGUCUAAGAAAUCUUUCCCCCAAAGAUGGCAAGAUUUUCUCCUAUCUUUCCUUCUUCUAUUAUUUAUUAUUCUUUAGCUUUUGCAUUUUGGCUGUGACCCCCUUUGAGUUCACUUUUGUCUACACUGUAAGGUAGAGGUGUGGAUUUUUCUCUCCUAGACACAUUCUGUCCUUCAGCAAAUUCCUUUCCCCUUGAAUGGCCGCUGCACCUUUGUUGAACAUCAGUUUAACAAAUACGUGUGGGAAUAUUUCUGGACUCUAUUAGGUACCACUGAUCUAUAAGUCUAAACUUUUGCAAAUGCUUGUCUUGAUUACUACCUGUUCUUAGUGAGUCUUGAAAUCGGGUACUGUAAGUGCUUCACCUUUGUUUGUUUCUUCUUCUUUUUAAUUUAAUUGUUUUGGCCGUUGUGUCAUUUGCAUUUCCCUCUCAUAAUACUGGAGUCUGAUGCAAAAAGGAGGCCUAUUUUCCAUUUACCUGGAUUAUCUUUUGUUUCUCUCAACAGUGUUCUAUGGUUUCCAGGGAAGAGAAAUCAUACCUUCAGUAGGUUUUCAUGUUAUUAUGAGUCUUUAAAUUUUCAUUUUCUAGCCUGGUGUGGUACACACCUGUAUUCCCAGCACUCAGGAGGCGGAGACAGAAGAAUCAAGAGUUUGAUGGCAGGCUGAGAUACCUUGUAAGUUCAAGGCUAGGCUCAACCACAUAGAAAGAUCCUGUCUCAAAACACCAAAAAAAAAAAAGUCUAAUCAUUUGCUAACACAUAAAACUGUGAUUGAUUUCUGGAUCCUCAAAUUUUGCACCUCGCUAAAUUCACUUAUUAGUUCCAAUCCUUGUUUAAUGGACUUCUUAGCAAUUUUACACAGGCAGUUAUUUCACCUAAGCAUAGAGACUAGUUUACUUCUUUUCAGGUCUGUGUGAUGUCACUUACUUGUUUUCUCUUUGCAAUAACCAGCCCCGCCCCAAUAAGCACUGAAUAAACAUGGUGGGAGCUGGGCCUGUGCUGCU